AGCGAACAUUGGCGGUAGGCUUAACACAUGCAAGUCGAGCGAGGCGUAAUAGUCGAGCGGCGAACGGGUGAGUAAUACUUGGGAAUCUGCCCUGAAGUGGGGGAUAACGUCCAGAAAUGGACGCUAAUACCGCAUAAUCCAUAUCGGGAAAGCGCGCUGCGCUUUAGGAUGAGCCCAAGUCUGAUUAGCUAGUUGGCGGGUAAAGGCCCACCAAGGCGACGAUCAGUAGCUGGUCUGAGAGGAUGAUCAGCCACGCUGGAACUGAGACACGGUCCAGACUCCUACGGGAGGCAGCAGUGGGGAAUCUUGCGCAAUGGGGGGCAACCCUGACGCAGCCAUACCGCGUGUGUGAUGAAGGUCUUCGGAUUGUAAAGCACUUUCAGCGGGGACGACAAUGACGGUACCCGCAGAAGAAGUCACGGCUAACUUCGUGCCAGCAGCCGCGGUAAU
rnacentral:rRNA from 1 species